CUAAUUGUCCGAGUUGACUGUGGCUUCUCCGUCAACUUGUGACUAUUCAUUUUGUAAAGAAACUAAAGAGUAAACAAAUUCUUGGUUAAAUAGGUGUGCAAGAUAGUAGAGGAGGACCAGAGGUACUCCAAGAGGUAAAACGAGAGGCAGAUUAUUACUACAAUACUCAAGGUCAGUUCCGUUGCUAGUGUUCUCGAUCGAGAAAGCUGUGCUAGCGGGAGAGGAAACCGAUUGUGCUUUCCAGCAAUUAUUUAUACCAAAUAGAGUUAUACACGCCAUAAGUAGAUUAUUUCGGACUAGUAUUGGGCGCUUUGUCUAAAUUUGAUACACAUGGUUUUGUUCAUAAGGGAUAUGUGUAAUCUUGUUGAUGAACCAGAUUAAAUCCUCAGCUUGUAAACCAGGUGGUUGGAAA
rnacentral:lncRNA from 1 species